rnacentral:ncRNA from 1 species
AGAAUGCUUCGUUUUUCUUAAUACUUUGCCCAUAACCAGAGAGCCUUCGACACGAUGUCGAAGGCAGUCGCCCCUGAGCCAGGACGGCGAAUGGGCGACGGUCUCGUACGAUGCCAAAAAUGAAAUCAAAGUAUUUAGAAAAACCAGCAUUCGCAGU